rfam:Megasphaera elsdenii strain DSM 20460 draft genome
GUAAUAUCAAGAGCAGCUGAGGGACGGGCCCGAUGACGCUGCGGCAACCUGCCAGCGGUAAGGUGCCAAUUCCUACAGGCUAUUCCUGAAAGAUAUCGU